rnacentral:lncRNA from 12 species
AGCCCUAAUAAAGAUAGAUCGAUUGAUUGAUCGAUCGAUAGACACACACACAUGCCAUGUGGUAUAUAUGAGACCCUUCAUUACAACAGUGACAGAACCUGAUGAUUCUUCAUGUGUCUGCUUGACGUUAUCAUAUUGAGAUAUUUGUGAGAAUUGUGUCAACCUCAAGUUACCUCCCAAUUAAAGUCACUGUCCUCAAACAAAAUCCUGGAGAAACUGAAAGCAUAGAGUUUGUAGUUCUACUGAGUCUCAGUGACCUAAUCAUUGUAUAAUGGAGGGGUUUGGAAAUUAAUGCUCUUAGGAUUGUUUCCAUGAUCAGAAGAAAAGAGAAUGAGAGCGAGAUAUGCUUUCCUGGAUCUGAUCUUCCUACCCUGUACUCAUAUCUCAAUAUUUUCUUCUCCUCCCUAAUGAACGUUGCUAGUGAAUGA